rnacentral:rRNA from 1 species
UACGUAGGUGGCAAGCGUUGUCCGGAUUUACUGGGCGUAAAGCGUGCGCAGGCGGUUCGUUAAGUCAGCUGUGAAAGCCCCGGGCUUAACCUGGGAAUGGCGGUUGAAACUGGCGAACUUGAAUCUGGCAGAGGGGGGUGGAAUUCCACGUGUAGCAGUGAAAUGCGUAGAGAUGUGGAGGAACACCGAUGGCGAAGGCAGCCCCCUGGGCUGAGAUUGACGCUCAGGCACGAAAGCGUGGGGAGCAAACAGG